CCUACGGUGUGCAGCAGUGAGGAAUAUUGGUCAAUGGGCGCGAGCCUGAACCAGCCAAGUAGCGUGAAGGAUGACUGCCCUACGGGUUGUACACUUCUUUUAUAAAGGACUCACGUGAGGCACGUGUGCCUUUUUGUAUGUACUUUAUGAAUAAGGAUCGGCUAACUCCGUGCCCGCAGCCGCGGUAAUACGGAGGAUCCGAGCGUUAUCCGGAUUUAUUGGGUUUAAAGGGAGCGUAGAUGGGUUGUUAAGUCAGUUGUGAAAGUUUGCGGCUCAACCGUAAAAUUGCAAUUGAUACUGGCAGUCGUGAGGACAGUUGAGGUAGGCGGAAUUCGUGGUGUAGCGGUGAAAUGCUUAGAUAUCACGAAGAACUCCGAUUGCGAAGGCAGCUUACUAAACUGCCACUGACAUUGAUGCUCGAAAGUGUGGGUAUCAAACAGGAUUAGAUACCCGAGUAGUC
rnacentral:rRNA from 1 species